ACUUAAUGAAAAAACAAACCCCUAAUAAUUAGAAACAAACAAACUAAUGGUCUCCAUGUUUAAAAUGGCUUAGUGGCUAUGGUGGUGGUGCCGCUACACGGCCUUGGAUAGCGGUGUCGGUGGCCCAUCUGUGCCGGGUACCAACAUAUCAUCUUCAUCGUGAUAGAUGUUCUCCGCCAUCUGCCAUAUCUGAAGGAUAUUGUCUUCGGCGACACUUGCCACCACCCAGUCCUCACAUGGAUUCCAUGAGAAGUCAG
rnacentral:misc_RNA from 1 species